UAGAAAGUUAGUCUAACCAAGACA
rnacentral:tRNA from 29 species